AUUGAACGCUGGCGGCAGGCCUAACACAUGCAAGUCGAGCGGCAGCGGGAAAGUAGCUUGCUACUUUUGCCGGCGAGCGGCAGACGGGUGAGUAAUGCCUGGGAAAUUGCCCAGUCGAGGGGGAUAACAGUUGGAAACGACUGCUAAUACCGCAUACGCCCUACGGGGGAAAGCAGGGGACCUUCGGGCCUUGCGCGAUUGGAUGAACCCAGGUGGGAUUAGCUAGUUGGUGAGGUAAUGGCUCACCAAGGCGACGAUCCCUAGCUGGUCUGAGAGGAUGAUCAGCCACACUGGAACUGAGACACGGUCCAGACUCCUACGGGAGGCAGCAGUGGGGAAUAUUGCACAAUGGGGGAAACCCUGAUGCAGCCAUGCCGCGUGUGUGAAGAAGGCCUUCGGGUUGUAAAGCACUUUCAGCGAGGAGGAAAGGUUGGUAGCUAAUAACUGCCAGCUGUGACGUUACUCGCAGAAGAAGCACCGGCUAACUCCGUGCCAGCCGCCGCCGUAAAAC
rnacentral:rRNA from 1 species